ensembl:lncRNA
AUUGUAUCAGAAAGACUUUAGGAAAGAGUAUGGAGUGCAGAGUGGGCCUUCCAUGGUGUCAGCACUAGAGAGGCAGAGAGUACAACCUCAAAUGCAGCAACACCUGGAAGCACCAGGCUGCAGUGGUGCAGAACUUUGGAUGCUUCUCUAGCAACUUCCUUCCCACAACACCAGAGAUGCGGGCUGAGCUCUUUAAAAUAACAUCAGGAGCUAACAUUUCCCUGGAGUUCCUGCAGCCCCUGAGGGACACAGGUCAGCCAAGAGUAUGAUUCUAACUAUUAGCUACAGCUCAUUCCAAUCAACAACUUGGGGAUUCAAGCUCACCAGUAAAAGACAGGGCCACCUGCUUGGAGGAACAAACAGAGUGUGCUCCUCACCAACAGCCUGUGCCCAGUGACAAUGAUGAGAAUUGUACUUCUAAGUUCACAUUUAGCACGGACAUUAUUUUGACAGUGACAUAUUUUCUGUAAUUUUAGUUGUCUGUCACCUAAUAAUGGUAUGAAUUACUAUACUUUUACAUUGCACAAAAAAAAUAUGUUUACAGAUAUAUCCUCUGAAUUAUCACCAAUUGACUUGGUUGCUGGAAUGCUGGAUGACCUCAAAGUGCUGAGUAUUGAUGACAACUUUAGUGAGGAAAUUUAAUGCAAUUAAAGGCAAUCCAUCAAGGCUUGUGUCAGCCAUCCAUUGCUUUAGGAAGUCUCACAUCAGCCCAACGGCUAACAGCACAGCAGCACUCCAAAGAGCUGCCAGACGACCAGGCCCUAUGAUUCCCUGAUAGCCUACAGCUGUUGCCCGUCGUUCCAACAAGGCUGGUACAAAAUGGCGUCUCACGACUGGACGACCAAAAGGCCAGAACAGUGGCGCGGAACACCCAUACUGUUCACAUGCUAAAAGGAAAAAGCCAUCAGAAAUUAGACAUCACAAGUUGUCUGACUCAGUGUAUGCAAAUAGUUCUCACACAGUGAAU